rnacentral:rRNA from 1 species
UACUGCUAUCGAGAUUCGACUAAGCCAUGCGAGUCGAAUGUUCUUCGUGAACAUGGCGGACUGCUCAGUAACACGUGGAUAACCUACCCUGAGGAGGGGGAUAACCCCGGGAAACUGGGGAUAAUACCUCAUAGGUUUCAGAUGCUGGAAUGCUCUGAAACCGAAAUGCUCCGGCGCCUCAGGAUGGAUCUGCGGCCGAUUAGGUUGUUGUUGGGGUAACGGCCCAACAAGCCCGUCAUCGGUACGGGUUGUGAGAGCAAGAGCCCGGAGAUGGAUUCUGAGACACCAAUCCAGGCCCUACGGGGCGCAGCAGGCGCGAAACCUUUACAAUGCGAGCAAUCGUGAUAAGGGAACCCCGAGUGCCUGAAACCAGGCUGUUCAGGUGUUUAAAAAGCACCUGGAGAAAGGGCCGGGCAAGACCGGUGCCAGCCGCCGCGGUAAUACCGGCGGCUCGAGUGGUGGCCGCUAUUAUUGGGCUUAAAGCGUUCGUAGCUGGGUUGUUAAGUCUCUUGGGAAAUCUCACGGCUCAACCGUGAGGCGACUAAGAGAUACUGGCAAUCUUGGGACCGGGAGAGGUGAGAGGUACUCCAGGGGUAGGAGUGAAAUCCUGUAAU